rnacentral:misc_RNA from 1 species
GCCGCCCUUCACUCCACCAGUUAAAUUCCAGAUUAGCCAAGUAUCUAUAGUUCCAAACAAAGCAUCUCCUUUUUCAAUAGCCUGUUUAACAGCAUCCACAUUUUCCAUCAACCAUAGUACCUUUAAUGCACUGAAGUAAGUACUUAUUGGCAGACCACAAGUCUGAACAAAAUGAGUUCUUCCUCCUGAUAAUUCUUUCUCCAAUUUCCUGCAAAUGGAACUGGUGCGAGCAUCCAUCCAAACAAUGGCAUUAUAAAGAGGAGCACCAGUAGAUUUGCUCCAAAGGACAGUAGUCUCUCUCUGAUUAGUGAGGCCAAUUGCCUUCAAAGCACCGUCAACAUUAUGGCCAUCAGCCGUGGCCUUGUCCACUGCCUUGGCCAUACAGACCCGCACACUCUCCAAUAUUUCCAUCGCAUCAUGCUCCACCCAUCCGGCUUCAGGGUAAAACUGGGUGAACUCGACCUGGUGAGAUCCGACAGAACGAGCUUGGCGAUCAUAGAUGAUGAAUCUAGUGCUGGUGGUACCUUGAUCGAGUGAAGCAACGAACGCUGGCUCGUUCUUGGACAUUUUUGAAGUUGUUUAGGCCUUGAGCUUUGGAGGGAGAGAGAUAGAGAGAAAGAAUUGUGAGAUGCAGAGAGCAGAGUAUCCAAGAAAGACAAAGACAGAGAGAGAUGGGAGAAAAUUUCCAGGCGAUGAUGAUGCUGUGAAGAAAACG